AAGGCUUUAGCUUAAAUUAAAAGCAUCUGUAUUGCACUCAGAAGAUGUUGGGUAUAACUCUGCAAGUCUUA
rnacentral:tRNA from 1 species